rnacentral:rRNA from 1 species
GACGAACGCUGGCGGCGUGCUUAACACAUGCAAGUCGAGCGGAAAGGCCCUUUCGGGGGUACUCGAGCGGCGAACGGGUGAGUAACACGUGAGUAAUCUGCCCUUGGCUUUGGGAUAACCACCGGAAACGGUGGCUAAUACCGGAUAUGACGGGCUCCGGCAUCGGGGUUCGUGGAAAGUUUUUUCGGCCAGGGAUGUGCUCGCGGCCUAUCAGCUUGUUGGUGGGGUAAUGGCCUACCAAGGCUUCGACGGGUAGCCGGCCUGAGAGGGUGACCGGCCACACUGGGACUGAGACACGGCCCAGACUCCUACGGGAGCAGCAGUGGGGAAUAUUGGACAAUGGGCGGAAGCCUGAUCCAGCAACGCCGCGUUGAGGGAUGACGGCCUUC